rnacentral:lncRNA from 1 species
UUUUUUUUUUUUGGAGGUUUUUUAAUCAUAUUUUCAAUUUCAAUACUUGUGAUUGGUCUGUCCAUAUUUCCUUCAUUAUUUUUUCCAUUAUGGCUGGUUUACAGUGUUCUCUCAAUUUUCUACUAUACAGCAAGGUGACCCAGUCACACAUACAUAUAUACAUUCUUUUUCUUACAUUAUCAUGCUCCAUCAUAAGUGACUAAAUAUAGUUCCCAGGAUCUACAGCAGGAUCUCAUUGAUUAUCCAUUUCAAAGGCAAUAGUUUGCAUCUAUUAACCCCAAAUUCCCAGUCCAUCCCACUCCCUGCCCUUCUCCAUUGGCCUGUUCAUAUUUUCUAUUAGUACAUAUUUUCUAUUUGAAUCUGUCCAUUUCUUAUAGGUUGUCCAUUUUAUUGGCAUACAGUUGCUCACAGUAGUCUCUCAUGAUCCUUUGUAUUUCUGCAGUGUCAGUUGUAAUUUCUUUUUCAUUUCUAAUUUUAUUGAUUUGAACCCUCUCCCUUUUUUUCUUGAUGAGUCUGGCUAAGGGUUUCUUCAAUUUUGUUGAUCUUUUCAAAUUACCAACUUUUGGUUUCAUUGAUCCUCUCAAUUGUUUGUCUCUAUGUUAUUAAUGUCUACUCUAAUCUUUAUGAUUUCUUUGCUUCUAUUAAUUUUGGGCUUUGUCAGUUCUCCCUUCUCUAGAUGUUUAAGGGGUAAAGUUUUUUGCUGUUUUUUUUUCUUUUAGUUUAUUUCUAUUCUCAUAACACUGUGAUCGGAGAAAAUGCUUGCAAUAGUUUCAAUUUUUAAAAAUUUAUCAAAGCUUGAACUGUGGCCCAAGAUGUGAUCUAUCCUGAAGAAUGUUCUGUAUGCACUUGAAAAGAAUAUAUAUUCUGCUGCUUUGGGGUGAAAAGUUGUAUACAUGUCAGUUAAGUCUAUUUGGUCUAGUGUAUCACUUAAGACUUGUGUUUCCUUUCUGAUUUUCUAUCUGGAUGAUCUGUCCAUUGCUAUAAGUGGGGUGUUAAAUUUCCCCCACUAUUAUUGUGUUACUGCCAAUUUCCCCUUUUAUGGCUGUUAGUAGUUGCCAAAUACAUUCUGCUGCUCCUAUGUUGGGUGCAUAUAUAUUUAAAAUUGUUACUUCUUCUUGUAUUUAUCUUUGAUCAAUAUAUAGUGUCCUUAUCUCUUGUGACCCUCCUUAUUUUAAAAACUAUUUUGUCUGAUAUGAGCAUUGCUACUCCUGCUUUUCUAUAAUUUCUAUUUGCAUGUAACAUUUUAUUCCACCCUUUCACUUCAAGUCUGUAUGUGUCCUUAGAUCUGAAGUGGAUCUCCUGCAGACAGCAUAUAUAUGUCUUGCUUUUGCAUCCACUCAGCUAGUCUUUUUCUUUUAGAUGGAGCAUUUAAUCCACUUACAUGCAAUGGAUUUACAGAUAAGUAUGUCUUUAUACUUAAAAAUUAUUUUGGAUUGCUAUUGCUUCCUCUUUUUGUUUUCUUUUCUUGUGAUUUGCUGAUAAUGUUUAGCAUUAUAUUUGGCUUGGUUUUUCUUUUUUAUGUAUGUGACCAUUAUGAUUAUGUGAUUAGUGGUUCCCCUUAUAUUUUGAUAUAUUCAUCUAUAUGUGUGCAGAAUUGCUUCAUCUUGCUGGUCUCCAUAAUUUCAAAUGCAUUUUCAAUGUUCUGUAUUUGUCCUUUCCUCUUCUCACUCAUAGUCAUUUUGAUGGAGAAACAGAAAGAGAACAGAACAUUUAAACAAACAAAUAAAAAGUAAACCAAUAACUGGACAAGAUAUUUUCACAGAGCAAUGGGCAAUAUGGAAAAAUUGUAAUAAAGAGUAAUGAUGGGGACCAUAGGCACUUGGUUGUUAAACUUAUCUAAGGAGAUUAAUUUUAGUUGAAACCUGAAUAGUAACCAGGAAAUAGCACCUUAAAAUCUGGAGUCAAUUUUAGGCAAAGGAAAUAAUAAAACCCAAGACCUUGUAACAGAGCCACCAGCUAUUUUUCCUUGGCUGCACCCAUGGCAUAUGGAAGUUCCCAGGUCAGAGACUUAACCUGCUCUGCAGCAGCAACCUGAGCCCCUGCAGUGACAACACCGGUUCCUUAACCCACUAUGCCACAAAGGAACUCCAUCCUCCCCCCCACCUUUUUUUUGCGUUUUACGGCUGUAGCCACAGUAUAUGGAGGUUCCCAUGCUAGGAGUCAAAUCAGAGCUGUAGCUGCCAGCCUACACCACAGCCACAGCAAUGUGGGAUUUGAGCCAUGACUGUGACCUAUACCAUAGCUCGCAGCAACACCAGAUCCUCAAUCCACUGAGCGAGACAGGGAUCCUCAUGGAUACUAGUUGGGUUCAUUAACCAAUGAGUGAUAACAGGAACUCUAUCGUUCUUCUUUUAGUAAAACCUCUUCCCCUAAGUUUCAGCAGGACACAUAUCCAUAAUGCCUAGACUAUUGGGGUGGAUCUAUGAAAUGAGCAACCAAUGGACUAUGACUGGAAAUAUGUUGAACUUACGGGUCAUGCCCCUUAAAGAAGGAUCUGGUUUCUACUUUCUUUCUUCGAAGUGUUGGAAUUCCUAUAUGGUGCUAAUGGCCAGCUUAAGCAAAGCAAACAAAGACAAAUUUCUAGGACACUACCAGAUCAGCGAGUAGGAAGAAUCCUUUGCCUAUCCCAAUCUGUUGCAGGAAAGAUAAAUUAAUUUCUAUUUGAUUUGAAACAGUGAAUCUUUUAUUCCAUUUGUCCCAUAAGUUUGGCCCAGUCUGUUAGCGGUUCUAUAUAGGCAUAAUCUUUGGUGUGUAUAAUAUUAGAAAACGAGUAUGCAGGAAAUAAUGAGCCUACAGAAAGGUGACAACAGAGAGAGGAGUAAGACAGCAGAAUAGAAGGACUGUAGCUCAACUUCUCUCCUAAAAACAACAGAACUCACAACUAAAAGCUGAGCAAUCUCCACCCAAAUGGACCAGAAACCUUAAAAAAGAUAUACUACUCCAGAAGAAAAAAAGGAGGCCACAUCAAGAGGUAGGAGGGGUGAUUUCACAAUAUAAACAACCCCAUACCUCACGGGUAUGAAGUUCCACAGACUGAAAACUAACUGGUUCACAGAGACUCACCUACAGGAGUGAGAGUUCUGAGCCCCACAUCAAACCCUCACAUGCGGGGAUCUGGCACUAGGAGAAAGAGCCCCUGGAGCACCUGGCACUGAAAGCCAGUGGGGCUUAUGCACAGGAGCUCCACAGGACUGGAGGAAAUGGAGACACCAUUUUUAAAAGGUGCACACGGACGUUCACGUGCACUGGAUCCCAGGGCAGAGAAAGGUCUCCAUGGGAAUCUGGGUCAAACCUGACUGUUUGGAGGAGAUCCGGGGAAAACAGGGAUGAAUGUGGCUUGUUUUGAGGGAAGGACAUUGAAAGAAAAGCUCUCGGGAAUAUUCAGCAGCUGCCUUUCUCUGGAGGUGGCCAUUUUGGGAAAAUCUGGACCCACCAGUCAGUCAGCACUGAGAAGCCCCAGGGCAAACAAAAACCCAGGUGGGAUCACAGCCCCACCCCUCAGUAAACAGGCUACCUAAAGACCCCUCAGGCACACAGAUGCCUCUAAUCCCAUCCAGAGACUAAGCCCCAACCACCAGAGGGAUUAGAAUCAGCUCUACCUAACUUGGGGCAGGCAUCAGCCCGUCCCAUCAGGAAGCCUACAGCAAGCCCCCAUAAUGACUUCAGCCACAAGGGGGGCAGACACCAGAAGUAACUCUACUACCUGUAAAAAGGUCACCACACCAAAAACCUAUAAAAAGAAAAGACAGAGAACUAUAACUUAGAUGAGGGAGAAAGAAAAAACCCCAGAAAAUCAGCUAGGUGAUGAGGAGAUUCUUAGCCUCCAGGAAAAAGACUUUAGACUGUGGAUGCUGAAGAUAAUGAAAGACAUUGGAAAUAAAGUGGAGGCAAAUGUGGAUAACUUACAGGAAACACUGAGCAAAGAAGUACAAGAUAUAAAACUUAAGCAGGAAGAGAUGCAAAAUACAAUGAGUGAAAUAAGAAAUUCAUUAGAAGCAGCCAACAACAGAAUAUAGGAGGCAGAAGAACAAAUAAGUGAGCUGGAGGACAGGUUAGUGGAAAUCAUGAAUGUGGAACAUAAAAGAGAAAAAAGAUUGAAAACAAAUGAAGAGAGUCUCAGAGAACUCUGGGACAAAGUGAAACGCACCAACAUCCAUAUUAUAGGGGUGCCAGAAGGAGAAGAGAGAGAGAAGGGGACAGAAAAAAUAUUCCAAGAGAUAAUAGCCGAAAACUUCCCUCACAUGGGAAAGGAACCAAAUUACUCACUCAAAUCCAGGAAGCACAAUGAGUACCAUAUAAAAUAAACCCAAGGAGGAACACACCGAGACACAUACUAAUCAAACUGACCAAAAUUGAAGACAAAGAGAAAAUCUUGAAAGCAGCUAGGGAAAAGAAACAAGUAACAUACAAGGGAACCCCAAUAAGGUUAUCAGCAGAUUUUUCAGCAGAAACGCUUCAGGCCAGAAGGGAGUGGCAUGAUAUACUUAACGUGAUGAAAGGAAAAAACCUCCAACCAAGAUUACUCUACCCAGCAAGGCUCUCAUUCAGAUUUGAAGGAGAAAUCAAAACCUUCACAGAUAAGCAAAAGCUGAGAGAAUUCAGCAACACUAAACCAGCCUUACAACAAAUACUAAAGGAACUUCUCUAGGCAGAAAAGAAAAGACAGCAACAGGAAACAAAAAUUCCACAAAUGACAAGGCUCACCAGUAAAGGUAUAUAUACAGUAAAGAUACGAAAUCAUCCAUGCACAAUUAUACCACCAAAAUCAGAAAUCAUGAGAAGAGGUGGGUACAAAUGCAGGACACUGGAGAUGAACUUGCAAUUAAGAGAACAACAACUUAAAACAAUCUCAUAUACAUAUAGACUCUUACAUCAAAACUUCAGAAUAACUGCAAACCAAAAAUCUACAAUUGAUACACAAACAAGGAAUCUCUGGAGAAGAAAUAUAUCUCAUAGUAAAUAAGUGC